rnacentral:misc_RNA from 1 species
GAUGAAGAACGCAGUGAAAUGCGAUAAGUAAUGUGAAUUGCAGAAUUCAGUGAAUCAUCGAAUCUUUGAACGCACAUUGCGCCCGUCAGUAUUCUGGCGGGCAUGCCUGUUCGAGCGUCAUUACGCCCCCCAAGUCCCCUGUGGACUUGGUGUUGGGGAUCGGCGAGGCUGGUUUUCCAGCACAGCCGUCCCUUAAAUUAAUUGGCGGUCUCGCCGUGGCCCUCCUCUGCGCAGUAGUAAAACACUCGCAACAGGAGCCCGGCGCGGUCCACUGCCGUAAAACCCCCCAACUUUUUAUAGUUGACCUCGAAUCAGGUAGGACUACCCGCUGAACUUAAGCAUAUCAAUAAGCGGAGGA